UACGUAGGGUGCAAGCGUUGUCCGGAAUUAUUGGGCGUAAAGAGCUCGUAGGCGGCUUGUCGCGUCGGCUGUGAAAACCUGGGGCUCAACCCCGGGCCUGCAGCCGAUACGGGCAAGCUAGAAUUCGGUGGGGGAGACUGGAAUUCCUGGUGUAGCGGUGAAAUGCGCAGAUAUCAGGAAGAACACCCGUGGCUAAGGCGGCUCUCUAGUACGGUACUGACGCUGAGACGCGAAAGCGUGGGGAGCGAACAGG
rnacentral:rRNA from 1 species